GGCCGUCUUUCAUUAAUAUACAGUGAGGAUUUUGUCUAAAUUACUGCUAUGAAUUUCACAGUACACGCUUUCAAAAGCCGUCUCAGGUGGCCUGAUGCAACGCGAUAGCGCCUCUGCAAAGCUACUUUCUCAAUAAUAAAAUAAAAAAAGAAGUUUAUUUUUAUUUUUAAAGGAUCUCCUGCAAUAUUGCGUGUCUCUGAACAAACAACCCUUUCAAUCGAGGUUACAGUUUUUAUUUUAUUUAUUUAUUUAUUUAAAAGGGGGGGGAACUUAAUCCUCGCCCAUCCCCCAACAAUUCAUUUCCCCACCCCCCUCUCCUUGUAGAGUGUGAUUACUUUGUCUGGAAAAAAAAAUCCGAAGUAUAACAAGGGGAGAACAGUUAGUGCUGAUUUUCAUUUGCAUAAAUUUUCAUAUAUUUUGGUGAAAAUAAUAGACUAGUGGAGAGCAGGGCUUACUGGAGUCAGUGCAAAGGAAAAUCUUACCCUGGAUCGUUUUGCAGCAGUUUUGAGGCUCACGGAUUUCCCUCUUUCCUUCACUCACCAAGAGCAAAGCCCUUCAAAUUCAAAUUCUCUAUGCCUUGGAGUUUCUUUGGUCCUCCCCNUCUCUUUAUUUGGCUUCACCUGCCAAGCACCCACCCGCGUGGAGCGCCGCGCCUUCUUCGCAGGCCUAGGUGGGUCGACAUGAUCCUCCUNUCCCGGGAAAAGAUCAGGAAGAUCCUCCUGGUUUGAGCUU
rnacentral:lncRNA from 1 species